ACAUCACUCAUCGAACUUCCCUCUUUCUGGCAUUUUUCUCCUUUAACAAGACUUCGCUCUCCUCUGACUGCAGGAAUUUGCAGUUAAGAGUUUAUAUACCAAUUAAAACUGUAAUAAGUGAUAAGAUACGCCGCAGUAAUGGAAGAUGUAUUCAAAUCUUUCAGUCAAGUAAAAGUAGCUUUUUGCUGAAUUUAGAAAUACCCUGUCCUACUUUCAAAACCAAUCAAGUAUUAAUUACUUAAUCUUAACUAGAAGUACAAUCAUUUUAUCAGCUACAUUUAUAGAAAGUAUCACAAGUCCGUUAUCCUUUUUAGAUAUAUUAGUAGUAGUACGAAUUGAUGUAAGCAGCAUUUUUAAUAUUGUAGCUGUUUCAUAUGCGGCUGGGUUCAUAUCAUUUCAUGUGAUGAUCAUAAGUUUUACAUCUAAAAAUGUUUAAUGGAAGAAAAGUACAACUUCCCAGUGGUGGAAGUAUUUCGAUCUUUUACUUGAGUAAAAGUAGCAAUACACUGCAACAACAACAAAAAAUACUCCAGAACAAUUAUCCAGAACCUCUCUCUAUAUAAAUGUAUCUUUCUGACUUAUGUGUAGCGAUUAACUGCUGAUCUUGGUUAAUUUAAAUUACUUUCUAUACAGGGUAGUGUCAUAAUUCUUUACUUAAGUAUAAGUAGAAACACCUCACUCCAAUAGUCUCUUAAUAAAGUUCUACAUUGAAAAGUAAAAAUACAUAUUAUCAGCAAACCCAAAAGCAUUAUCAAUGCAAAACAAUUGUCUCUGUGAUACAUUAUUAUUUACUUACUCUCAUAGUAUUACUGAUACAUUCUCAUGUGUAAUAAGCUUUUUAAUGUUGUAGCUGGCUGAGGGUGAAGCAAACUUGAGCUACUUGCUACUUUUCAGUUCAUAAUAAUUCAUCGUAUUUCAGAGAUUAUCAUUCAAUUAUGUAUGCAAAAAUUUUAAUCUGCAUACAGAGGAGUAAUUACAGCUCCAAAAUAAAUGUAGUGAAGGCAAAAAUGUCCACAUUUGUCCUUGAAAUGCGGUGCGACAGAAGAACAAAGUGACGUAACAUUGAACUGGUGAAGCAAAGUCCAACGACCUCAAGACUGCGCUGAAGUCUGAAGUCUUGCCCGUUAACGAUUUGGUGUCAUAAUCUGGUUCUUUAAUUGACCAUGAAUAGAAUACACAUCACACAAUUCAUCUGAAUUCUAGCGUGUAGGUUAAUUUACAGGCUGUUUAGUAUAUAUACCUAUACGUAAUGAUCUGUUUUAUCCAGCCGCAACCUCUCCACUCAUGAGACUGAGCGUUUUAGAAACUCAGCCUUUUUUCAGUCUCAUUAGCUAAAUUAAAUGUAAUCUGUUACCUCACUGCUCACGCCUCAUCUCACGAAGCCGAGCAGGAUCGGCGAGGAUCUGCAGGUCCAUUCUUUGGCGUGUCAGCCCCUCCUCCUCCUCCUCCUCCUCUACCUCCCCACCUUCGGUGCACCACAGUUGCAUUAUUAAACUUGUAUAAGAUCAUUAGCAUACAAAGCAGGAAACCUACCGCGGUGGAGUCAUACAUAUUUAUCUCGACGUGCCUGACUUGUGCGUGCAUGCACUCCCACUGUAACCCCUUUCGCACACCGGCGUUAACUGGCUUUGUCCUGUGGGAGGGCUGCGAAUAGAGACUAUGAAGUGGAUAUUAGCAGGAGCACGUCUAGUUUUUUAAUUUUUUUAUUUGAAGGCAUAGGGAUUUAUUUGUAUAGCAUCUGAAAUAACACGACCUUGCAUGUGCUUUCAAUUGCACAUUAAAAAAGUGCAGCUGCCUGUAAGACGAGAGAAAAUAUGUGGAUUUGGAAGCAGAGCAGAUGGAGCUCGGUUAGGUUCAUCGGAGCAGUUUGCUUCAAGCAUAUCAAACAUAGUUUACACACAGAUGAAUUUCAUUCUUGUAAUGCCUGCAAUAAAUAUUCAUCUGCUGCACAGAAGCUCAUAAUCAAACAGAGUUAGUCAAACAGAGAGCGUGCUUUUGUCAAUACUUGGUUCACCUGUGGGUUACCUCUGCCUCUUCCAUGACCUUGAAAUCAGCUCCUUUUUUCUCUCCACUAUUUCCCUUGUUCCCUCCUUUUCCAAUAUCCACUUUCACUCCUCAGCCGUGCUAUAUCCCCUCCUCCCUGCCCACAUGGGGCUCUCUCUCUACACUUUCCUCCUUUUCCUCCUCAACCUUCUGGCUGAGAGCACAACCCUCUCCUUUUCUUUUUUCUUUUUUUUUUCCGGCAACGUGGGCUCCUCUGCUGAUGUUCCUUCCUCCUUCCACCCUCUCUGUCCUCCCUCUCCUGUGAGAUUGCUGUUGUGUCUUAUGGCUUUUUAUUCCUACGUGAUGGUCGAUGGGUUCAUGUAGGAGUAGAAGCCACUAAACACGCGGUGAGUGCUCGACGCGCCGGCCCAAGCGCACGCAGUCAGCUUCCUGUGGACGUGACAACCGCCAUGUUCGCAUCAAUGUCCUUCUCAUUAUCAACAAUAUACACCGAGGAAAAACAAAACAGUAUAGGCCAGGGUAAUCACUGCAGGGAGGUUAUUGUUUCGCAUAAUCGUUUAGAUUUUAGAUUUUUUAAAUGACUAUUUACUAUACUUGAUCGAAAUUCAAGCAGAAUGUACACGACAUCAGGGCAACUCAAUCAGACUGAUUCUUUUGUUAUGAACAGACCGACUUUUUCCCACCUGCAUGCUGGUUGCACGUGCCCUGGAUUUUCACUUCCUCUGCCCCGGGGUCGUUUCACAAAUCUGGAGCUUGGAAAGUCCUCAAAAAUUGAGAUCAGGAGGAAAAGGAUGCCGUAAAUGAAGUGAAACAACUCACAGAGCUUCCCACUCCUACAUCGUUUUUUCCCCCCCACUUCUUCGUGGAGAAAUGAGGAGGUCUGAGAGAAUAGUAGAGCAGGGGAGACAUAUUAGCGGAGGCUGAGAGAGAAUUCGAUUCUGGACCAGCGGGAGUCCAUGGGAAUUUAAAGGUGCGUAUCAACCAUCAUGGUUUCUGUGGGAAAGAGCCUGCAUUAUUUAAAACAGCACUGGCAUAUGAAGCAGGAACCAGUUUUCGAGUAGAUUGCUGCACAUCCUCUGCUUUUCGCCUGAGGGUGUGUACGCCUUUUCCCGCAUUCCCCGGUUAUGAUCCGACUGCGCUGUAGACCUCACAUUUCCAAAAUGUCAAAAUGUUCAGUGAAAUAAGACGACACAUUUCACUCUGACAGCUGUGAAAUUUUUUUUUUAAAUCAUUAAAUGGCUUUCAUGUGUCUUGCGGUUAUAUGAUCAAUUACAGAGGUUGCGUAUUCCUCAAAUUCAGGUGGAAACAUGAAAAUCAUGAACUUGAGUAAUGGGAUUCUCGUCUGACAGCUGCAAUGAUGUGGUGUGAUUGUGUACAGUGGGUUUAAUGUACGAGUGUUGUGCUACUGUAUCUGUCCCCCCUCAGGACACACUUUGAUUUUCCUGUAAUAAAUAAUGCUCUUUUGUUUCUAUGCUUCAUUUGUUCCCUGUUGUAACAUCAUUGCUGCUCAAUAAAUUAUGAAUCACGCCUGUUCAA